UGGGCGUCCUCUCCCGCGAGGGAGGCGCUCUAGGCCGCGUAUAUAAGGCUGCGCCUCCCCGGGCCGCCAGAGCAGCUCCGCACUAUGGGCAAGAAGCAGCCGAGGCCGGCGGCUGCUCCCAACUGUGAACUCAAGUCCUACUCUAAGAACACGGACACUCGGGUGUCUGCCAUGGUGCUGGAUCCUGAAGAAAAGACGCCAGACGAUGGCGCUUCUGGGGACCACGCAGACUCUGGCAGCCUUGGCGCCAUCAACCCUGCCUACAGCAACUCCUCCCUCCCCCUGUCCACCGGGGAUUCCGAGGAGCCCUUCACCACCUACUUUGAUGAGAAGAUCCCCAUCCCGGAGGAGGAGUACUCUUGUUUUAGCUUUCGAAAGCUCUGGGCAUUCACGGGACCUGGCUUCCUUAUGAGCAUUGCCUACCUGGAUCCAGGAAACAUCGAGUCUGACUUGCAGUCUGGAGCAGUGGCUGGAUUUAAGCUGCUCUGGGUGCUUCUGCUGGCCACCGUCGUGGGGCUGCUGCUCCAGCGCCUCGCAGCCAGACUUGGAGUGGUCACCGGCCUGCACCUUGCUGAAGUGUGUCACCGCCAGUACCCCAAGGUCCCUCGGAUCAUCCUGUGGCUGAUGGUGGAGCUGGCAAUCAUCGGCUCCGACAUGCAGGAAGUCAUUGGCUCGGCCAUCGCCAUCAAUCUCCUGUCUGCAGGAAGGGUUCCCCUGUGGGGCGGCGUCCUCAUCACCAUCGCAGACACCUUUGUAUUUCUGUUUUUGGACAAAUAUGGCUUGCGGAAGCUGGAAGCAUUUUUUGGCUUUCUCAUCACUAUUAUGGCCCUCACAUUUGGAUAUGAGUAUGUUACAGUGAAGCCCAGCCAAAGCCAAGUUCUCAGGGGCAUGUUCGUGCCGUCCUGUUCAGGGUGCCACACCCCGCAGGUGGAGCAGGCUGUGGGGAUCGUGGGAGCCGUCAUCAUGCCACACAACAUGUACCUGCACUCUGCCCUCGUCAAGUCUAGACAGGUCAACCGCGCCAACAAGCGGGAGGUCCGAGAGGCCAACAAGUACUUCUUCAUCGAGUCCUGCAUUGCGCUCUUCGUCUCCUUCAUCAUCAAUGUCUUCGUCGUCUCUGUCUUUGCUGAAGCAUUUUUUGGGAAAACCAACGAUCAGGUGGUUGAUGUCUGUAGAAACAGCAGCAGCCCCCACACUAACCUCUUUCCUGACGACAACUCGACCUUGGCUGUGGACAUCUACAAAGGGGGUGUUGUGCUGGGAUGUUACUUCGGGCCUGCGGCACUCUACAUCUGGGCAGUGGGCAUCCUGGCUGCAGGACAGAGCUCCACCAUGACCGGAACCUACUCUGGCCAGUUUGUCAUGGAGGGAUUCCUGAACCUAAAAUGGUCACGGUUUGCCCGAGUGAUUCUGACGCGCUCCAUUGCCAUCAUCCCCACUCUGCUUGUUGCUGUCUUCCAAGAUGUAGAGCAUCUGACAGGAAUGAAUGAUUUCCUGAAUGUUCUGCAGAGCUUACAGCUCCCCUUUGCCCUCAUACCUAUCCUGACGUUCACAAGCCUGCGGCCAGUUAUGAGUGAGUUUUCCAACGGAAUAGGCUGGAGGAUCGCAGGUGGCAUCCUGGUCCUUAUCGUCUGCUCCAUCAACAUGUACUUUGUCGUGGUUUAUGUCCAGGAGCUCGGCCACGUGGCACUGUACGUGGUGGCCGCAGUGGUGAGCGUGGCUUAUCUGGGCUUCGUGUUCUACUUGGGUUGGCAGUGUCUGAUUGCGCUGGGCAUGUCUUUCCUGGACUGUGGGCGCUCGUGCUACCUGGGGCUGACUGCCCAGCCUGAGCUCUACCUUCUGAACAACGUGGAUCUGGACCUGUUUGUGUCCAGAUGACCAGCGGCCCGGGACACUUUAAGAACACAAUCUGAGCACUCCGGUGCCAAGGACGCGUCAGCAAACCCGUUAGCUCCGGGUUCUGUUUCUCGGCACGUCCCCUGGGAGGCGAUUCUGGAGAAGAAAGGCUGAUGAUAAGACGACCCCUGUUUCACAGCUCAUACAGAGAGGAGCGAACACCUGCAACAGACAGGCAGCCACACGCCAGCAGUGCCCACGAGAAGCACGCCCUGACAUUGGUCCUCGUGUGUUCCUGAGACUGUCACAGCAUUGCAACAUGAAGGGACAAAGGAAUCCUCCCAGCAGCUGGGGUUCAUGCAGCAGCCGCAGAAUCAGGGGAUGAUGAAUCUUUUAGGUCAGUAUUUACAGGCCGAGCAUGUGCACACACCAACACAAACACUUCCAUAAAAAUGCAAAUUCUGUACAAACAGUUUUUAUUUAAAAACCAUAUUCUGAACUUGGGCCGUU